UUUCCGUAGGUGAACCUGCGGAAGGAUCAUUCAUAAUAAAGUGUUUUAUGGCACUUUUUAAAAAUCCAUAUCCACCUUGUGUGCAAUGUUAGAUCUCGUCAAUCUUGGCGAGAUUUUUAUACAUCAACUCAUCCUUUAACUAAUUUGUCUGAAAAAUAUUAUGAAUGCUUAAUUCAAAAUACAACUUUCAACAACGGAUCUCUUGGCUCUC
rnacentral:misc_RNA from 1 species